AGCAUUAAGUGCUAAACUUCAGCUAGGAGGUUAAAAGUAAGUGGACUGAAGAGCUGAUCGCCGGCAGCUGCUCUCUGCUUUCUUGAAUAUGGAAGAGAGUUAUGUCGCCUACGCAGAAGACCUAUACAGAAGAGGUUCUUCACCAUCACUACCAGAAGCACACACAAGAUCAUCCUGAUCCCACUCAGGUUAACUGUCUGGACAGCUGUGAGUCAAGCCUUCAAGCCACGCUGCUUUAUCUGAUUGGUCUCAGACUUGAUCUGGCACAUGAAAGGAAAUGUGAGGAAGUUUCAAGCAGGGAUCGUUUUGCAAGUCCAGAGCUGAGGGUGAGGUCAAGUUCACUCACAUUUUUGGAGUAUCACAUUGCAAACAUAAAGCACCGUGCAUACAGCAUGAGGGUUGGUGGAGCAGUGGUUUCAACUGCAGGAGAUCUGUGUUGCUGGAGUAUUUUCGUGUUAUUUACCAGCAUCAAUGAAAUAUACCACACUAAAGAAACAGCAGUUGCAUGUAUUUUUUAAAGGCGACCCUUCUAGGGAAUAGGCAUAUGGUGACUUUAUCUUCGUUUUGAUGUUUAACUCACACAGGUGUUGCAAGCAUCUCGUGGAGCUGCAGGGUAAUGUUAGCAUUUAGUUAAUGAGUAAGUUCUUAUUAUUCAUGUGGCAUUAAUUUAGCCCACGAUGUUACUCCUUUCCUCUUGCGGUGCGUUCAGAGUCGUGGAGAUUGCUGCAAGAAUUUAUGGGAUGGAAAAGCAGAUAUUUAACUAUGGGGCUUUUUAAAGCUGUGUGGAGUAAUAAAAUCAUUACUGUUGGAAAAGACUACCAAGAUCAUCUAGUCUGACCAUCAACCCAUCGCCACCAUGCCCUCUAACCAUGUUCCUCAGUCCUACUGACUCGACUGCCCUCCUUGCAAACAAGCUCUGUUCCAGACUCAGCCUUAGGUCGUCACUUCAUAAAAAUGGUCUCAUUUCUACUAGGGCCUCACUGAGAUUUCCCAGUCAGUCAUUUUUCUGAAGAUGUUUAAGUCUUAAAUGCGUACUUUGUUAUUCUGAAAGGCUUUAUGGCUUUGUGUAAUCAGUUUUUCUUAAAGGAGAAUUGUUGGGUAAGCUGUACAUUUCAGCAAAACCACAAUUUAAAAUUUUGUUAUCUGUUGUAACAUGCAGUAAAUUCCAUGGUUAAUGGAAGAGCAUAUUGAGCAAAAUCCUGUGCCACUCCUGAGCUCAGUUGUACCAAGUGCUCUAAAGGCUGUCUGUGUGGAACAGGUCUGCAUGCUUGUCACUGUUGCGGUGUAAAUGUUGUAUUUCUCAACAUCUACUACGGAGAAGCAGGAGUUUAUUCUCUAAGAAUAGAAAAGCAGAACAGAUAUGAGCAGCUCCCAGGGGGUCGCUGGCCAUCAGCAUUUUCACACUUAGCAUAUUCAGAUAAGUGUGGGGACCUUGUGCGUGGUAGAUGCAAAAUGUUGUACAUACCCACUUUGUUUCCUGAAGUAUUUCUACAUUUCUAGCAUUUACUUACAGCUACCUGAAAUGUUGGAAUAUAGAUGAUACAGCUGUAUGAUGAGGAAUCUUUGAAGUCUUCAGAUAUUCUCAGCUGAGCUUUUAAAAAAAAACAAUGCCCCCCCCCC
rnacentral:lncRNA from 1 species